CAGUGAGCAGAGUUGAAAUCCAAGCCACAUUGUGUCAACCGGUUGAAUUUCAUCAAUACCAUUAUUAGUGACUUACACAUAAUAUUUUGAACAUAUUUUGGAUGUUACUGUGCGUCGGUAUCCUCGUUGUUGCUCAGAUGAACUGCGCCUUAACGCUAUGCAUCUUCUCACACGUAAAUGCAAUGGGGGGAAGUACGAAUUUACGCCUGAAACAUUUGUACGGAAACUGGGGGGGAGAACCUGGUUAGCAGUGUGUUGUAUAUAAAGACGGGCAUAAUUCGCAAUAAUGUUGGGUGGCUGGCCACGGUCACCAGAUAUAUUUGGCGGAAGCAGCCUCGCGGAAAGUGAUCUCAUGCCGUCCCGAAGUUCACUUGGACGUGCUAAUGAACUGUUGGAACGUAUAAAUAAACGUUAUGUUUCAUUAAGUGAUGACGAUAUGAAAAAGUAUGGAGCUGAGUUCAGAACGGUUUUGGAUUGUAUCAUUCAGAAAAUGAAAGAAAAGGACAAGAAGUUUAAUGAGUGUUACCAGAGAAUAUUUUUUGCUGGUAGUUACUGGGAUGGGCUUAAAGUUGGGAAACCAACAGAAUUUGAUGUUGACAUUGUAAUAAAGCUGCCCUUCAUUCGUAAUCAGAUUCAGGUUGAGCCAUGUGAAAGUCCUGCAUUUGUUAAAGUUAAAGUGGGUACACGACAACCUAAUUUCAGGAAACAGAAAAGCCAAAAGAAGAAGCCUCCCAAACAACCACCAAAAGAACCACCAAACCAACCCAAUUUUGGCAAAAUGCUUCUCGAGUCAUUACUUGAUUAUCGACGAUACCUGACCCAGAGACCAUUGCGCACGUGGAUGGAAAGUGUGCUGCACCAGGCUCUUGGUUGUUUCCCACAGAAAGGUGAUUCAUGGGUGUUAUAUGAUGAAAAGCAGCCAGGAAGGCAGUACAUGGUUAAGGUGAAAAAAAGUGGACCUGCUCUUACCCUGAACAUUGUUUUACUUGAUGGCUUCAGAAUGGAUGUUGAUCUUGUUCCAGUGAUAGAACUUAGGUGCUGUGAACAUCUACCUUCUCAUUUUAAGUUACAGCAAUACAGUGAUAGGCAUAACACAUUUUUUAUAGUACCAAAGCCCAACAAGCGACUUCCAAAAGCUGACGAUUGUUGGAGGUUGGCAUUUCAUGAACAAGAAAGGGCUGUGCUAGCCACAUAUGGAGCUGGGAUGAUGAAACCAGUUUGCCGUCUUCUGAAGAAACUGAGAGACACAUUGGAUAUGCCAAUGCUUGCCAGUUAUUAUUUGAAGACCCUGGUAAUGAAGGUGAUUUCAGAGCAGGAAGACGACAAGUUUUUCCGCAACUCUUUAGUGAACCUCUUUGUGCAUAUGCUGGUAGUACUCAAACAUCAGCUAGGAUUAGGAAGGAUUAAUUACUUUUGGGAUGAAAACUACAAUCUUCUUGAAGGAUAUCACAGGGAAGCAGUGAGGCAUUGUUAUGGAAGAAUAAAAAAUGUUGUUGAAGACAUACAGAAAAAUAUUGAGAUGGAUCCAUUGGUACUUGCACGUAAUAUCUUAAAUAAUGAGGAAUUUCGGAGUCUGCCAUUAGAUAUAGUGGAGUACGCGUGAUAGAAGAACUUACUUGUUUCCUGGAACAAAAUCUAUGGAAUUCCAUUCUGAAAUAUUGAUGUGGACAGCUUCUGAAGACUUCUAUUAUAAUUUGCCAAAAUAAGUUAGUUGCAAAACCAAGUGAAAUGUGCAUUUUAUUUAUUUAUUUAUUCCACCGUCUUACAUAACAAUAAACAGAAUAUCUGUUGUGGCAGAUGAAAGAUGUCACUGAAUCAAAUGGAUUUGAUGGUUUUAUAAAGAAGUUUUUUUUCUGUACUCAGAUGAAAAUUGGUACUACCCCUAAAAGUACAAAGUUAAUUUAUUAUUUAUGUUUGUAAAUGUAGAAAAAGUCUUGUAUUUAUGAAAUUAUCAGCUGCAAUACUUUCAGAGUUAAAGUAACCUCAAAGUUUUAUUGAAUUUUGAGAGAUGCCUAUUUAUU